rnacentral:rRNA from 1 species
UACGAAGGGGGCUAGCGUUGCUCGGAAUCACUGGGCGUAAAGGGUGCGUAGGCGGGUCUUUAAGUCAGGGGUGAAAUCCUGGAGCUCAACUCCAGAACUGCCUUUGAUACUGAGGAUCUUGAGUUCGGGAGAGGUGAGUGGAACUGCGAGUGUAGAGGUGAAAUUCGUAGAUAUUGGGAAGAACACCGGUGGCGAAGGCGGCUCUCUGGACCGGUAUUGACGCUGAGGUGCGAAAGCGUGGGGAGCAAACAGG